UCUACCUGCAGUAGGUACUUAAAAUUUAAUGACGUGCGAUGAAUACGUUGUAAAAUAUAUUUGUUUUUUGUACCGUCUAAAAGAUGAUGAAUAAUUUCAUCGAAAUUCGCCUGUAUAUGUAUUAGUAUAGUUAUAUAGAACUUCAGCCACCUGCAUUAUCAGUUAAUCCCGAAGACAUAAAGGCAUCAGACGUGGCUAUAAAUUUAGCCAAGCACUGGAGUAGGAAGACAUAUCACAAGCAUCUAAAUAGUUUGGACUCGAGAAAAAAACAACCUGUAUUAUUUUUUCAACCAUCCAAUCGGAUUGAAGUCUAUUUCUAUCAUCAGUCCAUUGUGAUUUCAUAAGACUAAAUAUUCUUUCGACAUUGGCAUUUUGAGCAGUUCUAACUACAGCGCAGAAAUAGCAUUUUCAAAUUUAAAAAGAGUGAAAAACGAAUUGAGGUCUACCAUGAAAAAUCCACGCUUAAACGCUCUAGCAUUAAUGACCACAGACAUAGAGAGAUUUCUACUAAAAGAAAUAAAUACUGAUGAAAUUAUUGUGGAGUUCCAAAAAAAGAAGAGAAAAUAAGAUAAUAAAAUAAGUUUUAAAAUACUAUAUUUAUAUUUUGACAU